rnacentral:rRNA from 1 species
AGGACGAACGCUGGCGGCGUGCUUAACACAUGCAAGUCGAGCGGAAAGGCCCUUCGGGGUACUCGAGCGGCGAACGGGUGAGUAACACGUGAGCAACCUGCCCUUAGCUCUGGGAUAGCUCCGGGAAAACCGGAAUUAAUACCGGAUAUUACACCGGCUGGCAUCGGCUGGUGUGGAAAGAUUUAUCGGCUAAGGAUGGACUCGCGGCCUAUCAGCUUGUUGGUGGGGUAGAAGCCUACCAAGGCGACGACGGGGUA